UCAAACUUGGUCAUUUAGAGGAAGUAAAAGUCGUAACAAGGUUUCCGUAGGUGAACCUGCGGAAGGAUCAUUAGCGAGGAUGAACGAGAGCACACUGCGAACGGGGGAUGUUUAGCAGCGGACGAGGCGGGAUGUGGGUGGCUGUUGCGGUCUGCACUUGUGCUCGCUGCGAUAAGCACCCCGCACCCACACACACCGCGCCCGCUGCCCAAUCAACACCAACUCACACCACACACCAACACACACAUUAACUACACAACUUUUAGCAAUGGAUCUCUAGGCUCCCGCAUCGAUGAAGAACGCAGC
rnacentral:misc_RNA from 1 species